ACCGCGAGGCCGCAGCGGCUGGCCAGCAGAGCUAUGUGGAUCCAGUUACGGGUUAUUUAGUGCUCACCGAAGUUGCCCACUUGCAGAGAGUGUCCAUAUGAGCAAGUUAAUGUGAAAGACCCAUCCAAAAAGAAGCGCUUCAAUUCUUUUUUUUAUGUUUGACUAGUAAUAUCUCCG